UACUAUUAUGUGGUGCGAAAUGAAUGUUCUAAACUCUUCUUUGCCUGCAGGCUGCAGCCGUGAUGUAAAGUACUUCUUCAAAUUAAUCGCCUGAAGCAAUAUCCAUGGAGUGUCACUGCCUUUCGACAGUAGGUGUAGCUCACUGUUCAAGAAUUCCGAGCUUUCAGGGUGCCUCAACUAUUGGCUGCAAUUUACCUUCAUCAUCUCCAUAUUCGUUGCUGCUUCCGUCUCCCCUUCCAAAUUCUUUUCUCCAGCGUAGAUUAGAACCAGUUGUUUACCAGAAAAAGUUAUCAUUCCAUCCCUUGAGAACCUACAAAGGGAGUAUUAGAGCUGAAAAACAAGGUUGGGAUGUAGGUCGGUUUUGGAAAACAUUGUCUUUCUUUGACCAGCUUCCCUCUCCUGGAAAGUUAUUUGCAUUUCUGAUUGAGAAAAUCUCUGAUCCGUCACCUAGCAAAGCAGUGAAACCGAUGGAUACUUCUGGGAUUGUACUGGUGGCUGGAGCUACUGGUGGUGUUGGGAGAAGAGUGGUGGAUCUCUUACGAAAAAAUGGGCAAGCAGUUCGAGUUCUGGUCAGAAAUGAAGAAAAAGCUAGGAAGAUGCUUGGUGAAGAUGUUGAUUUGAUUGUUGGAGAUAUUACCAAAGCAAGCACAUUGCUACCUGAGUACUUCAAAGGAGUAAAGUUGGUGAUUAAUGCUGUUUCAGUUAUUGUUGGCCCAAAAGAAGGUGAUACUCCAGAUAGGGCCAAAUAUAGCCAGGGAAUCAAGUUCUUCGAACCAGAGAUUAAAGGUGAUUCCCCGGAAAUGAUUGAGUUCAUUGGCAUGAAAAAUCUGAUCAGUGCAGUUAAGGAGUCAGUUGGACUUCGUUGUGGAAAACUAGUAUUUGGAUUUGAAGAUAAUGUAUCCAGAGAGCUUCCUUGGGGAGCACUGGAUGAUGUUGUCAUGGGAGGGGUAAGUGCCAGCGGAUUUGAGAUAGAUCCUUCUGGUGGUGAGAAUGGUAGACCAGCUGGAAUUUUCCGGGGAUUCGUUUCUACUGCAAACAACGGAGGUUUUGCUAGUAUCCGCACAAAGAAUUUCUCCAUACCAGAAGAUCUCUCUGCAUAUGAUGGUCUUGAGUUGCGCAUCAAAGGUGAUGGUCGUAGAUAUAAAUUCAUGCUACGAACCAGUCGUGAUUGGGACACUGUUGCAUAUACAACUGGCUUUGACUCUGUUAAGGAUCAAUGGCAAUCGUUUCGCUUGCCUUUCUCUUCUUUGAGACCUAUAUUUCGAGCGCGAACUGUGUCUGAUGCCCAACCCUUUAAUCCUAGUGAAAUCAUAUCAUUUCAGCUGAUGUUCAGCAAGUUUGAGUAUGAUGGGAAGUUGAACCCAACUUUUGUUGAAGGUCCAUUCCAGCUUCCAAUAUCAACCAUAAGAGCUUACAUGAAAGAGCCAAUUACUCCCAGGUUUGUGCAUGUGAGCUCGGCUGGAGUCACUAGACCCGAUAGGCCAGGACUUGAUUUAACCAAACAGCCUCCAGCCGUCCGCAUGAACAAGGAGUUGGGCUUUAUUCUCACAUACAAAUUGAAGGGGGAAGAUCUAAUCAGGGAAAGUGGCAUUCCAUAUACAAUUAUCAGACCCUGUGCAUUAACCGAGGAACCUGCCGGAGCUGAUCUCAUCUUUGCUCAAGGAGAUGAUAUAACAGGGAAGAUUUCCAGGGAGGAAGUUGCAAAGGUAUGUAUUGCUGCACUGGAAAGCCCUUAUGCAUGUGACAAGACAUUUGAGGUUAAGAGCGUGAUUCCGUUCAGCGAACCUUACACUGUGGAUCCAGAAAAUCCUCCUCCUGAAAAGGACUACAAUGUGUACUUCAAAACACUGAAAGAUGGCAUAACAGGGAAACAAAGCUUAGAGCAAACACCUGUUUCCGUCUAAAUCUAAACUCGUCUGCAGAAAAUCUUUGUUGAGUGGUGAUCUCAUAUCAUACAUGUUCAUGAAAGGGCUGAGUUAGCUGCCUGUGUAAUUGGCUUGCUUGAGAUACUUGUAAUUGUAAAGCUUACAGUUGCUAAAGCAGAAAGAAAAAGUACAGCUCUGAGCUUUUUGCCAUAGUGAAAAACUGCAGCAUUACAUCAGGCUAGGCCUGAGACCAGGAGGCCUAGAAAGGUCUAUGAUGGGGUACGAACUAAACCCUAAUGGCAAGCCCAAUAACAGUGACGGCCCAUCAGCCCAGAGCCCAAGAAAGAGUAUCUGUUCGGCACCAAAGAGUUCGGCACGACCAAAGAGUUCGGACUCAG